GCUGCAGGUGAUUUUUUCCCCCAUCAGAUCAACCCUGUUGAUCAAACUAAACUAUUAGCCAGUUUUUGUCUGAUGCAUUGC